rnacentral:rRNA from 1 species
UGGGGAAUUUUGGACAAUGGGCGAAAGCCUGAUCCAGCAAUGCCGCGUGUGUGAAGAAGGCCUUCGGGUUGUAAAGCACUUUUGUCCGGAAAGAAAUCCUUGGCUCUAAUACAGUCGGGGGAUGACGGUACCGGAAGAAUAAGCACCGGCUAACUACGUGCCAGCAGCCGCGGUAAUACGUAGGGUGCAAGCGUUAAUCGGAAUUACUGGGCGUAAAGCGUGCGCAGGCGGUUUGCUAAGACCGAUGUGAAAUCCCCGGGCUCAACCUGGGAACUGCAUUGGUGACUGGCAGGCUAGAGUAUGGCAGAGGGGGGUAGAAUUCCACGUGUAGCAGUGAAAUGCGUAGAGAUGUGGAGGAAUACCGAUGGCGAAGGCAGCCCCCUGGGCCAAUACUGACGCUCAUGCACGAAAAGCGUGGGGAGCAAAACAGGAUUUAGAUACCCCUGGUAGUCCACGCCCUAAAACGAUGUCAACUAGUUGUUGGGGAUUCAUUUCCUUAGUAACGUAGCUAACGCGUGAAGUUGACCGCCUGGGGAGUACGGUCGCAAGAUUAAAACUCAAA